rnacentral:rRNA from 1 species
AGGGUUUGCCUCCUGGCUCAGAACGAACGCUGGCGGCGUGCUUAACACAUGCAAGUCGAGUGCGCGUUUCCCGCCGCAAGGCGGGGAAUGGCGCACGGCGCACGGGUGCGUAACACGUGGGUAAUCUGCCCUCCGAUGGGGAAUAACCCCGCGAAAGCGGGGCUAAUUCCGCAUAACAUUCCUUGGACUCCGGUUCGAGGAUUCAAAGGCGUAAGUCGUUGGAGGUGGAACCCGCGCCCGAUUAGCUAGUUGGUGAGGUAACGGCUCACCAAGGCAAUGAUCGGUAGCUGGUCUGAGAGGAUGGCCAGCCACACUGGAACUGAGACACGGUCCAGACUCCUACGGGAGGCAGCAGUGGGGAAUCUUGCACAAUGGGCGAAAGCCUGAUGCAGCGACGCCGCGUGGGGGAUGAAGCUUCUCGGAGUGUAAACCCCUCUCGACCCGGACGAAUGCCCCGCAAGGGGAGUGACGGUACGGGUAUAAGAAGCCCCGGCUAACUACGUGCCAGCAGCCGCGGUAAGACGUGGGGGGCCAGCGUUGUUCGGAAUUACUGGGUGUAAAGGGUUCGUAGGCGGUGUGGCAAGUUGGGAGUGAAAUCUCUGGGCUCAACUCAGAGGCUGCUUCCAAAACUGCUGUGCUGGAGUGUGGGAGAGGCGCGUGGAAUUGCAGGUGUAGCGGUGAAAUGCGUAGAUAUCUGCAGGAACACCCGUGGCGAAAGCGGCGCGCUGGACCACUACUGACGCUGAGGAACGAAAGCUAGGG